AUGAAGUUUGAAAUUCAAGAAAUUCUACACUCCGAUAACUCAGGGAUCAAGACAGUAUAUGCGUUCGAAAGUCAACAGGAGGCUACCGGAGAGCCUUGUGUCCAGAGUCAAUGUGAGAAGAGACUCGGUCCAAAUAAUGAUUUAAUUCAGCAGUCAUGGACUCUAAACCCAAAUGUAAACAUCACAGUCCACAGUCAAAACAGGAAGCACAACUACGAAUUUAGCGUUCCAGAAAGCAGCAAGGAUGCCGAGUUCACAGAAAGACAUAGCAUUGCCUCAAGGUGUUGUGGGGAAUUGGCCUGCCGCAAAAGCUGCUGUGAUGAUCAAUUUGCUUUUCACCGUUCGCCCAGCAACAAUGACACCGACUUCACAUUGGCAGGUGGGUCCUCCAGCCCACCCCCUUUGUCUGACUUCUGGAAAAGCACAGAUGCACUGUGUGACAUUCCCCCACCUUGUGAGUUUUCCGACCAUAAAUAUGAAUCCCUGGCAGACCUUACCGAAGACAUAGCUUCCUGUCAGAUUGGAGCUUGUUGUACUAUGGACAAGCAGCAAUGGGUAUUCAGUCCACCACCCUCCAUGAGGCACCAUAAAGACUCUGGUUGCCCCUACUCACUUGAUGGUGAAGACAGUGCCCAUUUGGCAUCUUUCUUCGACAGCGUAUCGGAAUCAGACAACUAUGAACCCAUGUUCAUGAGACCACCAUUGUCAGUGAACAGGUCCAGUUACACCAAAGACUUCAUCCAAAACCACGAGAUGAAGACCCAGAUGCGUAACAAUAGCAUAGCUACCGUAGAAUGCAAAACCUGCUUGUCGUCCAGUUAUCUACAAAAGCCGACGAAGAGGCGGCGGACUUUCCCCGGGGUGAAAGAAGAACCAAGUCAAAUGCAGGAGGGCCUACCUUCGUGGGAGGGAAGAGAGUCUUUUUCGUCUGGCACCAUCUCCUCUUACAUUAUGGAGUCCCUUCCGCUUCAAGCAGAGAGACUAAGCAGACUGACAGCAGACCACCAGGAAGAUGAGAGGCUUUGUCCCUUUAGUGCAUUGAGACGUAAAUCCUCCCAAAGCAGCUACAGUUACAGACCCAGCUCCAGCAAUGCAAACAGCCACCUCGAGCCACAGCAACAACUGAUCAAUCCGUCAUAUGCAUCUAUGUCCGAGGAGGCUGUAGAGGAGGUCUUCCAGUUACCAGAGCCAAAGCACCUACCAUGUGAAGAAUCCAGAGGACCCGACCUGGACUUUGGAGGGAAUGCAUUGGCGGACAUGGCUUUCGGAGUGGAGCAGAUCGAGGUGGCAGAGAGCGGCUUUGAUGAAGACAUGGGGGAAGUGGAGGACCACAGCCUAGAUCCCACGAUGGAGGAGCUCACUCAGAGGGACCUGCUCAUUCAGGUCUUCCCUACCUCCCUUUCCAAACUGUCAUCCCAAGAGAAUUCAGUUCCCAAUCUUCAAUCCAUGCGGCGAAGAGGAUCAGUCAUGGCCAUAACAACAGGGAGCACUGAGCAAAGGAUCUUGCAGAGUGUCUCCAAACUAGCAGAGAGCGCAGCACUGAAUAGUCCCCACUUGGACACCUCCAACGUAAUCCCAGAGGCACGGUCUGUGUUCCCCGUACUGAACAUGGAGAUGGACUCAGAAAUCGCAAGUAAAGCUACAGAGGAGGUUAGACUAACGCCGAAAAGGUCUCAAACUGUAAGAGCUAGCAUCUCCAGCCCUACUCUUUCACAGAUCGAGGAGGGGAAAGAACCUCCUCCAAAAUACAAGAUUGUAGAGGAUUCAGGCAUGGAAAUUGCAGAGGCACCCAGUCCAGAUCAUGAAUCUCAAGACCAAGAGACAGAAAGCAAUUGGAAUCAAUAUCAGACAGAUUCUACAGCGGUAAAACAAAGUGUGUCCAAAUGUGAGUUGUACCAAUCUCAGGUUUUUCACUAA
ensembl:lncRNA